rnacentral:rRNA from 1 species
UACGAAGGGGGCUAGCGUUGCUCGGAAUUACUGGGCGUAAAGCGCACGUAGGCGGCUUGUUAAGUCGGGGGGUGAAAUCCUGGAGCUCAACUCCAGAACUGCCUUCGAUACUGGCGAGCUCGAGUUCGGGAGAGGUGAGUGGAACUGCGAGUGUAGAGGUGAAAUUCGUAGAUAUUCGCAAGAACACCAGGUGGCGAAGGC